AUUGAACGCUGGCGGCAGGCUUAACACAUGCAAGUCGAGCGGAGAUGAGGUGCUUGCACCUUAUCUUAGCGGCGGACGGGUGAGUAAUGCUUAGGAAUCUGCCUAUUAGUGGGGGACAACAUUCCGAAAGGAAUGCUAAUACCGCAUACGCCCUACGGGGGAAAGCAGGGGAUCUUCGGACCUUGCGCUAAUAGAUGAGCCUAAGUCGGAUUAGCGCGUUGGUGGGGGAAAAGCCUACCAAGGCGACGAUCUGUAGCGGGUCUGAGAGGAUGAUCCGCCAACCGAGGACUGAGACACGACCCAGACUCCUACGGGAGGCAGCAGUGGGGAAUAUUGGACAAUGGGCGGAAGCCUGAUCCAGCCAUGCCGCGUGUGUGAAGAAGGCCUUUUGGUUGUAAAGCACUUUAAGCGAGGAGGAGGCUACCUGGAUUAAUACUCUAGGAUAGUGGACGUUACUCGCAGAAUAAGCACCGGCUAACUCUGUGCCAGCCGCCGCAGUAAUAC
rnacentral:rRNA from 1 species